rnacentral:rRNA from 1 species
GAUGAACGCUGGCGGCGUGCCUAAUACAUGCAAGUCGAGCGAACAGACGAGGAGCUUGCUCCUCUAACGUUAGCGGCGGACGGGUGAGUAACACGUGGAUAACCUACCUAUAAGACUGGGAUAACUUCGGGAAACCGGAGCUAAUACCGGAUAAUAUAUUGAACCGCAUGAUUCAAUAGUGAAAGACGGUUUUGCUGUCACUUAUAGAUGGAUCCGCACCGCAUUAGCUAGUUGGUAAGGUAACAGCUUACCAAGGCAACGAUGCGUAGCCGACCUGAGAGGGUGAUCGGCCAUACUGGAACUGAGACACGGUCCAGACUCCUACGGGAGGCAGCAGUAGGGAAUCUUCCGCAAUGAGCGAAAGCCUGACGGAGCAACGCCGCGUGAGUGAUGAAGGUCUUCGGAUCGUAAAACUCUGUUAUUAGGGAAGAACAAAUGUGUAAGUAACUAUGCACGUCUUGACGGUACCUAAUCAGAAAGCCACGGCUAACUACGUGCCAGCAGCCGCCGUAA